GUCCUGCCUCAGCAGCGUCUUCGAGGGAUCUUUAUUUCUGCAGGAAGACAUCAAAGUUCCCCAGGAGGUUUCCUACCUGCCGGCUGUGGAAGGGGAACACCGGGCCUGAGAGAGCCACAGAGGCUGCUGUGACCCCCAACCCUUACACUUCUGCCACGUACUGUACAUGUAUUCCUCAUCUUGCAGGAACAUUAAAGCUUAAAGGAUAAGCUGAGAGAGAAGACGGACGAUUUGAUGUUGAUGAGAACUUGUGUGGCCAAAUGCAGCAGAGAGGGACCAACCCCCGCCACCCCCCC